GGCUGUGAGGGCAAUCUGGCUGUGACAUCUGUCACUCCAUUGAACUAUAGGGUUGGCUUGGCUGCUCUGUCUGGUGAGGCAGGUAUUGUCUUCCUCCCUCACCUUUUCAUGUACAUCCUUCCUGAUGUUGUGCUCUUGGUCCAAGAGGUCAUGAUCUCUUUUUGGACAAAGGUAUGCAAGUAGCUAUGCUCCCCUGAUAGAACCUCCAAAAAACCUCUUAACUCAGUGAGGCUUGGGCUUGUCUCCUUGCUCAGGCUCCCGCUGUUUGUGUGAACUUGGGCAAGAUUCUUAAUAG
rnacentral:snRNA from 1 species